GAUGAAGAACGCAGCAAAAUGCGAUAAGUAAUGUGAAUUGCAGAAUUCAGUGAAUCAUCGAAUCUUUGAACGCACAUUGCGCCCGCUGGUAUUCCGGCGGGCAUGCCUGUUCGAGCGUCGUUUCAACCCUCAAGCCCCCGGGUUUGGUGUUGGGGAUCGGCUCUGCCCUUCUGGGCGGUGCCGCCCCCGAAAUACAUUGGCGGUCUCGCUGCAGCCUCCAUUGCGUAGUAGCUAACACCUCGCAACUGGAACGCGGCGCGGCCAUGCCGUAAAACCCCAACUUCUGAAUGUUGACCUCGGAUCAGGUAGGAAUACCCGCUGAACUUAAGCAUACAAUAAGCGGAGGA
rnacentral:misc_RNA from 1 species